CUGGCGGCGAUUUGGCGUGUCUCGGCUGGCUGUCAGCCGUGAUAAAUGCCUGUGGAAAACCGUAUUCUCCGCAUAACCGAUUCGGAUGUAAUUGGGAAAAAUCUCUGUAAUUAUUUGGACAUUCGUGUCCAGGCAGGCAGUCGGGCAGCCGGGCAGCCGGGCAGCGGCAGUCUUGGAAUGGCAAUCGAAUAGCAUCUGGUGAACGAUUAACAUCCAAUUUGGGCAAUACUGGAACCACACACACACACACACACUAGUCAAGUUCAAUGGCAAACGUAAAAAACCAACGAAUUUUGGAUUGGCUUGGCGGUGGCUUGGAAUUCCCCCGCUCCGAAUAACGUAGCUGAAAUGGGAAAAAUAAAAACAAAA